UACGUAGGGUGCGAGCGUUAAUCGGAAUUACUGGGCGUAAAGCGUGCGCAGGCGGUUCGCUAAGACCGAUGUGAAAUCCCCGGGCUUAACCUGGGAACUGCAUUGGUGACUGGCGGGCUAGAGUGUGGCAGAGGGGGGUAGAAUUCCACGUGUAGCAGUGAAAUGCGUAGAGAUGUGGAGGAAUACCGAUGGCGAAGGCAGCCCCCUGGGCUAAAACUGACGCUCAUGCACGAAAGCGUGGGGAGCAAACAGG
rnacentral:rRNA from 1 species